AACAGGAAGUAGGCCAACUCGGAACUUUUGUGAGUUGCACAAGAUGUGAUGAGCAGAGUUGGUUUAAUUUCGUUCAUGUAUUGAAUACAGAUUGCCCCGUCUACAAUUUGAUCGAUUAUUAACGUUUAAAAAUACCUAACGUUGUAUUACAAAAGUAGUUUGAAAUAUUUUGGCAAAGUUUAUAGGCAACUUUUGAAAUAUUUUGUAGUGACGUUGGGUUUUUCUUAAACAGUUUUUUUAUGGAUCAAACAGGCUUUAUAAAUGGACAUUUUCGAUAUAUAUGGACGGAAUUAAUCGUACAAAAUGACAAAUUGUGAUGUUUAUGGGACAUAUUGGAGUGCCAACCAAAGAAACUCGUCAAAGUGAGCUGAGCAGAUCAUUGCAGAUGUGUUCCAGGAUCCAACGCUACCUCAGACAGAGGAUCACCCUUGCCCAAAUGCGGUCACAAGGUGGCAGUGUUUUUCCAGUCACACAGUAUGAAGGCUGAGCCCCUCACUGUGGACACCGCUGGACAGAGUGAGGAGGAUGAAGAGGAGGUCUGAUGUAUGCAUCCACAGUCUCUGCUGUUGCCCAACAGUCCACCAUGUCUCACUGGGGUUCACUGUUGCUGAAAACAGAAAGACUGGUGGUUGUGUGGGCCUAAAAUACUCUGCCAAAUCAGAAACUUUUACAGGAAUACUAACUUUGUGUGUUAGAUCUUCAUCAUCUUGUUGGAGUGUACGUACAGGAACUGCUAAGAUUUGUAUGGACCAUUUAAAUGCCAUUUCUUACCAUGUUGUGGAGGAACACCUGUUGGGACAUAAUUGUGUUAAUGUAUUAGCUCUAGUACUUUUUACAUGUAUUUGAAAUUAAAUAAGACAAAGUUUUGUUGUGAAA